rnacentral:lncRNA from 1 species
GAGCAAGGAGGUUAGGGAAGGAAAAAUGACAACAAUACAUGGGGAGCCCAGGACUCUGUAUACACAUUCAGAAACAAGGUCAAAGAGAGCGUGGAGCAAUCAUCCAAUGAAUCCAAAUUCCACAUCAGCCCAGGAAAGGGCCCUUGUGAAUUGAUGAAUAUGAAGACACUAAGAAAGCAGAAAUAGAACUGAGAAGAAUGAAAUAACUGUCUCUACCUUUCUCGAAUUGUCUAAUAUGGAAAGAAUGAAAGACAGCUAAUAAGCAACUCUCUGCAAGAAGACAUAUGGCUUAGAGAUGGGAUCUUGCUAUGUGGCCCAGGCUGGCCUCAAACUCCUGGCCUCAAGAUAUUUCCCCCUGCCUUGGCCUCUCAAAGUGAAUCUACUUGGAGAGAGUCAAACACAGAAUCCCUUUGAAUUUAAUGGCCAUUCCAGGUGAUUUGAACAGCCAAAUAAGAAACAGGUCCUCUUCAAUGUACAAUCUGCCAAGUAUGAAGUCUGAAUGACCAUCAUUAUUAUGUAUUUAAUGUGCAUAGAAAAUCUAUCUGCAACCUUCCAGAGUGUACCAGAAGUUUGGAAUGUACAUUAUUAUUGGCUCCAUCUCAAACCACUCAUAAAUCAAAGAAAAUAGCAGUUCCAGAGGAAUCAUCAUAGAGGCUUCUAGGCCCCCAUGCUGUGUGAACCUGGUGAGAAAGGGAAGUCUGCUCUCACUGGACACUGGAACUGUUUGUCUCUGUCUCUGCUGUACUUUCCCUGCCUCUACCUCACUUAGUAAAGAAAUCAUCUUUGCUUGAUAACUAAAACAACCAAUAAGGCUGAGAAAGGGGAAAACCCACAUCUGGAUUUAAAUACAAGGUAUUGGGCCAGCUGCUGGGGAUUAAACUUUGAACAAAACAGAUAGAAUCUAUGUCCUCAUGGGAGUGGCUAAUGGGAGAGUCGGAACAAAAAAAUAGCCAAGGAUAAUCCAGCAAAUGAUUUGGUGAAUGCUAUCAAAGAGAGAAAUACACAUGCUCUGGGAACACCAAACAGAGUCUUGCUCUUGUUGCCCAGGCUGGAGUAUGAUGGUGCGAUCUCAGUUCACUGCAACCCCUGCCUCCCAGGUUCAAGUGAUUCUCCUACCUCAGCCUCCUGAGUAGCAGGGAUUAUAGGUACAAGCCACCACACCCGGCUAAUUUUUAUAUUUUUAGUAGAGACGGGGUUUCACCACAUUGGCCAGGCUGGUCUCGAACUCCUGACCUCAGGUAAUCUGCCCCUCGGCCUCCCAAAAUGCUGGGAUUAACAGGCAUGAGCCACAGCACCUGGCUGACUUUGCCUGUUUUAUAAUUUCACACAAUAAAAUCAUGCACUGUGCAUUUCUUUGUAUUGUCUCCUUUCACUCAGCAUAAUGUCUGUGUGAUUCAACCCUGUGGUGAUGUGUCAUUUUUUUAAAAAAAAUUAAGAUAUUUUAUUAUAUGAACAUACCAUAAUUUGUUUAUUCAUUUGGUGAACAUUGUGUUGAUGCCAGGUUUGGG